rnacentral:miRNA from 1 species
CUUGUGAAAUUAACGUGAGU